AGAUGUGAUCAUACCAGCACUAAAGCACCGGAUCCCAUCAGAACUCCGAAGUUAAGCGUGCUUGGGCGAGAGUAGUACUAUGAUGGGUGACCUCCUGGGAAGUCCUCGUGUUGCAUUCC
rnacentral:rRNA from 1 species